GAAGUUCUACAGAUUUCCGGGCAAGUGGUACGAGAAGGACAGACGACGAGCAUGGAUAACUGCAGUGCGCCGAGUCAAAUGGAAGCAGCGCCAAACAGACCAAUGGCAAUCACAACAGUCUUCUCAGCAGUCAGCCCCACCGGGACAUGUGCUUUCGUACUGCUGCUCAACAGCAAGACACGUGUGAAACAGACUCCAGAACAUGCCUUUGUGAAGUGACGGAACCGUCAAGAAGCAGCCCAAUGGAUCUGCAGUCAUCGAGUAGUAUAUGACAACAGAAGUUCCUGCUGCCAGUGUGACUUACGUUGUAAUUGAAAUAAAAGUGGCUAAAUUUCUGAA